rnacentral:rRNA from 1 species
UACAGAGGAGCCAAGCGUUGUCCGGAUUGACUGGGCGUAAAGCGCACGCAGGCGGUUGCGCGCGUGGGGUGUGAAAUCUGGCCGCUUAACGGCCAGGCGCCAUCCCAUACGGCGCGACUGGAGUGAUGCAGAGGUCGAUGGAAUUGCCGGUGUAGUGGUGAAAUGCGCAGAUAUCGGGAGGAACACCAAUGGCGAAGGCAGCUCGCUGGGACGGUACUGACGCCGAGACGCGAAAGCGUGGGGAGCAAACAGG